GAUGAACGCUGGCGGCGUGCUUAACACAUGCAAGUCGAACGGAAAGGCCCUGCUUUUGCUGGGUGCUCGCGUGGGGCACGGGUGUGUAACACGUGAGUAUCCUGCCCUUGUCUUUGUGAUAUCUUCAGGAAACUGCGGCUAAUACCGCAUAGGAGCUCCUGCUGCAUGGUGGUCGUUGGAAAGUUUCGGCGGUUGUGGAUAGACUGGCGGGUUAUCAGCUUGUUGGUGGGGUAGUGGCUUACCCAGCGUUAGACGGGUAGCCUGCAUGAGAGGUGGAACAGCGACAAGAGGACUGAGGGACGCAGCAGUCGCGUACGGUAGGCAGUGGUGGAAAGUAUGACACAGCGGGGGGGAGCCUGAGGCAGCGGUGCCGCGUGCGGGAAGACGGCUUUCGGGGGAUAAACCGCUUUCGACUGAGACGAAGCGGUAGUGACGGUAAUGGGUAAAGAAGCACCGGCUAACUACGUG
rnacentral:rRNA from 1 species